rnacentral:lncRNA from 1 species
CGGGUUGUGAAGGUAAAUGAAAGCAGCAAGAAUCUGACACACAACAAUCUGACACAUAUGCGAUACGUGUUAGUCUUCCUGGAGUUGAGAAAGCCCAACAUGGCCUUUCAGUUGACACCGACAACAACGACACUCCACUGAAUGUGUCACAAAGGUGUGAGCUGUGGUGGCGUGUACUGGGUGUACUGGGAGGAGAUCAAGCACACAGAAAUGUAUUCCAACCACACAACUCUCCACAUUUCAACCCCAAACUCCAAACCUGGAUUUCCUGGCUACUAUGCACUCAUCUCCUUUGUCCUACUCACACUGAUUGGAUGUGUAGUGGCAAUGGUUGUUUAUAUCAGAAGGAGGUCACGAUUAGAUGAGCUGCGGCAUCGUCUGAUUCCUCUGUACAGCUUCGACCCCACAGAGGACCGAGACGAGUGGGAGGACAGUGGCAGGGAGGAGGUGGAGGAGCUGGCGGAACCUUUAUAUAAGGAGGGACAUCUCUCCUUUUCAGGGGUCUCUAGGUCAUGAACAGAAAAACCAAGAAAGAAAAAAUAAUGUGGCCGAUUAAAGCACGAUUUCUGCCAUCGAACUGCAGAGACUUUACAAAUCGAGACUUGCCACCCUAUGAAGUAUAAAACUAACAUCUGGAAGACAUUCCACAAUUACAGCACCACAUCAAAUAAUAAAAUGUAAACGUCUUCCCUCAUGACCUUUCUUUUGCAGAGCAGCAGAUGGCGCUGUGAUCUUUUCUUUUGCCUCAGUUGAGAUGUUCUUUUAAAAGACGGUUCAAAGUGUUUUGAAGGAUUUGAAGCAUGAUGUUAUUUUUGAGCAAUAAACUGAAAGAUAAAAUCCAAACA